UUAAGUUAUUAAGGGCGCACGGUGGAUGCCUUGGCACUAGAAGCCGAUGAAGGACGUUACUAACGACGAUAUGCUUUGGGGAGCUGUAAGUAAGCUUUGAUCCAGAGAUUUCCGAAUGGGGAAACCCAGCAUGAGUUAUGUCAUGUUAUCGAUAUGUGAAUACAUAGCAUAUCAGAAGGCACACCCGGAGAACUGAAACAUCUUAGUACCCGGAGGAAGAGAAAGAAAAUUCGAUUCCCUUAGUAGCGGCGAGCGAAACGGGAAGAGCCCAAACCAACAAGCUUGCUUGUUGGGGUUGUAGGACACUCUAUACGGAGUUACAAAGGACGACAUUAGACGAAUCAUCUGGAAAGAUGAAUCAAAGAAGGUAAUAAUCCUGUAGUCGAAAAUGUUGUCUCUCUUGAGUGGAUCCUGAGUACGACGGAGCACGUGAAAUUCCGUCGGAAUCUGGGAGGACCAUCUCCUAAGGCUAAAUACUCUCUAGUGACCGAUAGUGAACCAGUACCGUGAGGGAAAGGUGAAAAGCACCCCGGAAGGGGAGUGAAAUAGAACCUGAAACCGUGUGCUUACAAGUAGUCAGAGCCCGUUAAUGGGUGAUGGCGUGCCUUUUGUAGAAUGAACCGGCGAGUUACGAUUUGAUGCAAGGUUAAGCAGUAAAUGUGGAGCCGUAGCGAAAGCGAGUCUGAAUAGGGCGUUUAGUAUUUGGUCGUAGACCCGAAACCAGGUGAUCUACCCUUGGUCAGGUUGAAGUUCAGGUAACACUGAAUGGAGGACCGAACCGACUUACGUUGAAAAGUGAGCGGAUGAACUGAGGGUAGCGGAGAAAUUCCAAUCGAACCUGGAGAUAGCUGGUUCUCUCCGAAAUAGCUUUAGGGCUAGCCUCAAGUGAUGAUUAUUGGAGGUAGAGCACUGUUUGGACGAGGGGCCCCUCUCGGGUUACCGAAUUCAGACAAACUCCGAAUGCCAAUUAAUUUAACUUGGGAGUCAGAACAUGGGUGAUAAGGUCCGUGUUCGAAAGGGAAACAGCCCAGACCACCAGCUAAGGUCCCAAAGUAUAUGUUAAGUGGAAAAGGAUGUGGCGUUGCCCAGACAACUAGGAUGUUGGCUUAGAAGCAGCCAUCAUUUAAAGAGUGCGUAAUAGCUCACUAGUCGAGUGACACUGCGCCGAAAAUGUACCGGGGCUAAACAUAUUACCGAAGCUGUGGAUUGUCCUUUGGACAAUGGUAGGAGAGCGUUCUAAGGGCGUUGAAGCAUGAUCGUAAGGACAUGUGGAGCGCUUAGAAGUGAGAAUGCCGGUGUGAGUAGCGAAAGACGGGUGAGAAUCCCGUCCACCGAUUGACUAAGGUUUCCAGAGGAAGGCUCGUCCGCUCUGGGUUAGUCGGGUCCUAAGCUGAGGCCGACAGGCGUAGGCGAUGGAUAACAGGUUGAUAUCCUGUACCACCUAUAAUCGUUUUAAUCGAUGGGGGGACGCAGUAGGAUAGGCGUAAGCGUGCGAUUGGAUUGCACGUCUAAGCAGUAAGGCUGAGUAUUAGGCAAAUCCGGUACUCGUUAAGGCUGAGCUGUGAUGGGGAGAAGACAUUGUGUCUUCGAGUCGUUGAUUUCACACUGCCGAGAAAAGCCUCUAGAUAGAAAAUAGGUGCCCGUACCGCAAACCGACACAGGUAGUCAAGAUGAGAAUUCUAAGGUGAGCGAGCGAACUCUCGUUAAGGAACUCGGCAAAAUGACCCCGUAACUUCGGGAGAAGGGGUGCUCUUUAGGGUUAACGCCCAGAAGAGCCGCAGUGAAUAGGCCCAAGCGACUGUUUAUCAAAAACACAGGUCUCUGCUAAACCGUAAGGUGAUGUAUAGGGGCUGACGCCUGCCCGGUGCUGGAAGGUUAAGAGGAGUGGUUAGCUUCUGCGAAGCUACGAAUCGAAGCCCCAGUAAACGGCGGCCGUAACUAUAACGGUCCUAAGGUAGCGAAAUUCCUUGUCGGGUAAGUUCCGACCCGCACGAAAGGCGUAACGAUUUGGGCACUGUCUCAACGAGAGACUCGGUGAAAUCAUAGUACCUGUGAAGAUGCAGGUUACCCGCGACAGGACGGAAAGACCCCGUGGAGCUUUACUGUAGCCUGAUAUUGAAAUUCGGCACAGCUUGUACAGGAUAGGUAGGAGCCUUUGAAACGUGAGCGCUAGCUUACGUGGAGGCGCUGGUGGGAUACUACCCUAGCUGUGUUGGCUUUCUAACCCGCACCACUUAUCGUGGUGGGAGACAGUGUCAGGCGGGCAGUUUGACUGGGGCGGUCGCCUCCUAAAAGGUAACGGAGGCGCUCAAAGGUUCCCUCAGAAUGGUUGGAAAUCAUUCAUAGAGUGUAAAGGCAUAAGGGAGCUUGACUGCGAGACCUACAAGUCGAGCAGGGUCGAAAGACGGACUUAGUGAUCCGGUGGUUCCGCAUGGAAGGGCCAUCGCUCAACGGAUAAAAGCUACCCCGGGGAUAACAGGCUUAUCUCCCCCAAGAGUUCACAUCGACGGGGAGGUUUUGGCACCUCGAUGUCGGCUCAUCGCAUCCUGGGGCUGUAGUCGGUCCCAAGGGUUGGGCUGUUCGCCCAUUAAAGCGGUACGCGAGCUGGGUUCAGAACGUCGUGAGACAGUUCGGUCCCUAUCCGUCGUGGGCGUAGGAAAUUUGAGAGGAGCUGUCCUUAGUACGAGAGGACCGGGAUGGACAUACCUCUGGUGUACCAGUUGUCGUGCCAACGGCAUAGCUGGGUAGCUAUGUGUGGACGGGAUAAGUGCUGAAAGCAUCUAAGCAUGAAGCCCCCCUCAAGAUGAGAUUUCCCAACUUCGGUUAUAAGAUCCCUCAAAGAUGAUGAGGUUAAUAGGUUCGAGGUGGAAGCAUGGUGACAUGUGGAGCUGACGAAUACUAAUCGAUCGAAGACUUAAUCAA
rnacentral:rRNA from 1 species